ACACAGGUGUACAAACAGGUUCUCACAGACACACACAGGUGUACAAACAGGUUCUCACAGACACACACAGGUGUACAAACAGGUUCUCACAGACACAUACAGGUGUACAAACAGGUUCUCACAGACACAUACAGGUGUACAAACAGGUUCUCACAGACACACACAGGUGUACAAACAGGUUCUCACAGACACACACAGGUGUACAAACAGGUUCUCACAGACACAUACAGGUGUACAAACAGGUUCUCACAGACACACACAGGUGUACAAACAGGUUCUCACAGACACAUACAGGUGUACACACAGGUUCUCACAGACACAUACAGGUGUACAAACAGGUUCUCACAGACACACACAGGUGUACACACAGGUACUCACAGACACACACAGGUGUACACACAGGUUCUCACAGACACAUACAGGUGUACACACAGGUUCUCACAGACACAUACAGGUGUACAAACAGGUUCUUACAG